rnacentral:rRNA from 1 species
GACGGAGGAUGCAAGCGUUAUCCGGAAUGACUGGGCGUAAAGCGUCCGCAGGCGGCAGUUCAAGUCUGCUGUCAAAGACCGGGGCUUAACUUCGGAAAGGCAGUGGAAACUGAACAGCUAGAGUAUGGUAGGGGCAGAGGGAAUUCCUGGUGUAGCGGUGAAAUGCGUAGAGAUCAGGAAGAACAUCGGUGGCGAAGGCACUCUUCUGGACCAUAACUGACACUCAUGCACGAAA